rnacentral:rRNA from 1 species
CUCGUAGGCGGCCAACUAAGUCAGACGUGAAAUCCCUCGGCUUAACCGGGGAACUGCGUCUGAUACUGGAUGGCUUGAGGUUGGGAGAGGGAUGCGGAAUUCCAGGUGUAGCGGUGAAAUGCGUAGAUAUCUGGAGGAACACCGGUGGCGAAGGCGGCAUCCUGGACCAAUUCUGACGCUGAGGAGCGAAAGCCAGGGGAGCAAACGGGAUUAGAUACCCCGGUAGUCCUGGCCCUAAACGAUGAAUGCUUGGUGUGGCGGGUAUCGAUCCCUGCCGUGCCGAAGCUAACGCAUUAAGCAUUCCGCCUGGGGAGUACGGUCGCAAGGCUGAA